rnacentral:rRNA from 1 species
UGAGGAAUUUUGCGCAAUGGCCGCAAGGCUGACGCAGCAACGCCGCGUGGGUGAAGAAGGCCUUCGGGUCGUAAAGCCCUGUCAGGUGGGAAGAAUGUCCUUGUAUUGAACAGAUGCGGGGAGUGACGGUACCACCAGAGGAAGCACCGGCUAACUCCGUGCCAGCAGCCGCGGUAAUACGGAGGGUGCGAGCGUUAUUCGGAAUUACUGGGCGUAAAGCGCGUGCAGGCGGGCCAGCAAGUCGGGUGUGAAAGACCCGGGCUUAACCUGGGAAGGGCAGUGGAAACUGCUAGUCUUGAAUAGUGGAGAGGAAGGGGGAAGUCCCGGUGUAGGGGUGAAAUUCGUAGAGAUAGGGAGGAAAACCAGUGGCGAAGGCGCCUUUCUGGACGGUAACUGACGCUGAGACGCGAAAGCGUGGGGAGCAAACA